UUCGGGAGCUGGAGAGGUCCUAGGAGAAAGAAGUGCAUGAGGCACCAAGCUUCCCAGCCAUGGCUUUUGCGCAGGGGCUGCUGAAGGCUCGCUGGCCUUGGCCUCUUCUCGUCAGGCAAGUCUCCGUGCUGCUGAUCGUGUGGAUGGCGCGGUGGAUGGAGAUGCUUCUGCCUGUGCUGUCUGCCCGCGAGCUGCUGGGGUGGCCGGGUGCCACGGCGUAAAACCUGCUUUUGCGGAGCUGGUGUAGGAGAGGACCUUAACAGCCCCCCGAGCCGCUGGCGGCACCUCCGACGGCCACAGCGAGGCAGGCUCCUUCGGGGGCCAGGAAAGGUGUUUCCAGGGGCGAGCGCUGAACCGCUACAGACCACUUCAGCUUCUCUUAGACAGCCAGGAAGCAGAGAAGGACAGCGUUGCCCGAUGGUCAGGUCUGUGCAAACAGACUGUGGAAACUCAAAACAAAACAAAUCAAUCACAGAGAAAGAUGUGUGCUCUCAUCGUGCUCAGGUUUGUGUGCUAAACACUGACCACCGCCCGGGAGUGCUUGCCAGGCUGUCAGGAUCUGA
ensembl:lncRNA